UUGCACCCCAAAAAUUUCGGAGAAGACUCCCCAGGCCAACACAUCCACUGUGGGGCAGAGAAAGAGCCCUGGCACAGACCAGGUAUAUUACAGGUUGGCCAGAGGCUUUUUUUCCCUGCAAGGGAAACUUGCGGGACCGACAAAGUGCAGGAAGUAACUAAAGGAUUGUUACAAGAGACAAUUCCAGGAUUUGGGGUUCCAGAACAUCAUAUAUGGUGAUCAAGGUGAAAGAGCAAGCAUCCUGGAUCCUCUUACACGAAAAAAUAGAACUUCAGUAGAAAUUGAAGAUCUUCUGACUAGUAGGAGUCAUGAAAGAUGAUGCUUCUCAUGAGAAGUCCAUCAUGGGCUUACUUAACUCACAUCCAUAGAAGACAUCUCGUUCAUAGAUAUUUAUCUAAAAUGGCAG
ensembl:lncRNA